rnacentral:piRNA from 1 species
UCUGCUGCUCAUGGGCCCUGUGU